UUCGGGGGAAUGAAGAGAUGGAGAGCGGCGGACGGGUGAGUAACGCGUAGGCAACCUGCCCUUUGCAGAGGGAUAGCCACUGGAAACGGUGAUUAAAACCUCAUAAUGCUAAGAUGUCACAUGGCAAUUUAGUCAAAGAUUCAUCGGCAAAGGAUGGGCCUGCGUCUGAUUAGAUAGUUGGUGAGGUAACGGCUCACCAAGUCAACGAUCAGUAGCCGACCUGAGAGGGUAAUCGGCCACAUUGGAACUGAGACACGGUCCAAACUCC
rnacentral:rRNA from 1 species